ensembl:snRNA U6 U6 spliceosomal RNA
GUGCUCACUUUGGCAGCACGUAUACUAAAAUUGGAACAAUGCAGAGAGGAUUGGCAUGGCCCCUGGGCGAGGACAAUGUGCAAAUUCAUGAAGCCUUUCCUAUUUUG